GCAAAGGCCAAAGGAGCAGUGGGCUGUUUGUGCUUGGAAGUCUCUGUGAUGCUGGCAAAGGUCUGAUGGUGAAACAGCCUCAGCUGUGGUUACUCUGGUUGCUGUUGGUGGUCCCAGCUAACAGCAGCAGCAGCUUCUACACGGGGCAGGAAGUGAGGAAAUUCACCUUUUUUCCUCUAAAGUUAUUUGAGGAAUUGUUCUGGCUGCUGAAUUGGUUUUCUGCUGACUUGCAAGCAAACUCUGUGCGCCCAGGGGGGUCUUGUCCUUGGCUGUCAGAAAGCCAUGGUCCCACCUCCCAGAAGCAAAGAAGGAAGCAAAUUUUAAGUAUUUAUUUAUUUUCCAGAGGCCUUGGAGAAGAUUGUGAUAGCCCUAACCAGGUGGUUGCUAUUUCAUUCCAGACUCUGACCCCAAAGCCUGGAUGUGCUUGCGAAGCACAGAAAGGGCAUGAGCUGGAACUCUAAGACAAUGCAUUAGAUUUCGUUCUCCAUGUGGCUUGUCGACACCAUCUUGCCAGGUGGCUUGGUUUUUAACUCCAUUUCUACUUAGACCACAUUUCUGAUCUGGGAGGGAUGAACAAGGCCUACCAGCUUCAAAAGGAUACUAAUGCUAAUCCCCAGUUUGAAUCUCUUCUGCCUAUGGGAAAGCCAGAUGUGAUCAGAUCGAGAGGUCACCUCAUGCCAAGGCAGUAACCCCCAUUGGUUCUUGAGCUGUGAGACCCAUUAUCUGGUGUCUUCUCUCAGUGCUGCUGAAUGCAUUUUACCUGUAUUGAAGGAAUCACUAAAAGAAAUGAACAAGAGUGAGCUGCAAACUUCUAAUGGUUGUUAAUGGCUGGGUCUUUGCAAUGCAAAUGUAGAGACCAGCCUGAACAUUACACAGUCAAGUCGGCCUGGAGAAAGUACAUUCCAUGCAAGGUAGAAAUGAGAAGAACACGUU
rnacentral:lncRNA from 1 species